rnacentral:rRNA from 1 species
GAUGAACGCUAGCUACAGGCUUAACACAUGCAAGUCGAGGGGUAACGAGAGGAAAGCUUGCUUUCCUUGUCGACGACCGGCGCACGGGUGAGUAGCGCGUAUCCAACCUGCCCCCAACUAGGGAAUAACCUUGCGAAAGUAAGACUAAUACCCUAUAAUUUCCUCAGAUGUCAUCUGACGAGGAAUAAAGAUUUAUCGGUUGUGGAUGGGGAUGCGUCUGAUUAGCUUGUUGGCGGGGUAACGGCCCACCAAGGCAACGAUCAGUAGGGGUUCUGAGAGGAAGGUCCACCACAUUGGGACUGAGACACGGUCCAAACUCCUACGGGAGGCAGCAGUGAGGAAUAUUGGUCAAUGGGCGGAAGCCUGAACCAGCCAAGUAGCGUGCAGGAUGACGGCCCUAUGGGUUGUAAACUGCUUUUAUACAGGAAUAAAGUUAGCCACGUGUGGUUAUUUGUAGGUACUGUAUGAAUAAGGACCGGCUAAUUCCGUGCCAGCCGCCGCCGUAA